UACGGAGGGUGCAAGCGUUAUCCGGAUUUAUUGGGUUUAAAGGGUGCGCAGGCGGUAUCGUAAGUCAGUGGUGAAAACUUGCAGCUUAACUGUAAGACUGCCAUUGAAACUGCAGUACUUGAGUUAUCUUGAGGUAGGCGGAAUGUGUAGUGUAGCGGUGAAAUGCUUAGAUAUUACACAGAACACCGAUUGCGAAGGCAGCUUACUAAGGAUAAACUGACGCUCAGGCACGAAAGCGUGGGGAUCGAAC
rnacentral:rRNA from 1 species